rnacentral:rRNA from 1 species
UACAGGCGUGGCAAGCGUUACUCGGAAUUAUUGGGUGUAAAGGGCAGGUAGGUGGCCUGACAAGUGAGGGGUGAAAUCCUGCGGUUUAAUCGCAGAACAGCCUUUCAAACUAUCAGGCUUGAGAGUGAGAGAGGAAGAUGGAAUUCCCGGUGUAAGGGUGAAAUCUGUAGAUAUCGGGAAGAACACCAACGGCGAAGGCAAUCUUCUGGGUCACUUCUGACGCUGAGCUGCGAAAGCUAGGGGAGCAAACAGAAUUAGAUACUCUGGUAGUCCUAGCCGUAAACGAUGAAUACUAGGUGUUGGGUCCCUUUGGGGCUCGGUGCCGAAGCUAACGCAUUAAGUAUUCCACCUGGGGACUACGAUCGCAAGGUUAAA